rnacentral:rRNA from 1 species
GAUGAACGCUGGCGGCGUGCCUAAUACAUGCAAGUCGAGCGAACGGACGAGAAGCUUGCUUCUCUGAUGUUAGCGGCGGACGGGUGAGUAACACGUGGAUAACCUACCUAUAAGACUGGGAUAACUUCGGGAAACCGUAGCUAAUACCGGAUAAUAUUUUGAACCGCAUGGUUCAAAAGUGAAAGACGGUCUUGCUGUCACUUAUAGAUGGAUCCGCGCUGCAUUAGCUAGUUGGUAAGGUAACGGCUUACCAAGGCAACGAUGCAUAGCCGACCUGAGAGGGUGAUCGGCCACACUGGAACUGAGACACGGUCCAGACUCCGACGGGAGGCAGCAGUAGGGAAUCUUCCGCAAUGGGCGAAAGCCUGACGGAGCAACGCCGCGUGAGUGAUGAAGGUCUUCGGAUCGUAAAACGCUGUUAUUAGGGAAGAACAUAUGUGUAAGUAACUGUGCACAUCUUGACGGUACCUAAUCAGAAAGCCACGGCUAACUACGU